GGAAGAUGAAGAAGACAGCGGUGAAGCCAUCGCUCCCACCAUCGCACUAAAUCAGAAGCCCUAAAUCUCAAACAAGAAAUUAACCGGUAAUUGCUUUCUGAUUUAUCUCCUGUUUUGCAGUAUAUUUUUUUGUCUGUUAUAUUUUCUUUAACUGUAGAAAGAAAUUAGAAGAUGACUCUUUCAACAUCCAAUGGAAAAUCGUAUAUGGUUAAUCACUGAUCUACAGUUGCAGGUAAGUGAAUCAACGAUCAUCGUGAUGAUGAUUACGAGGUGUUUGAUCCAGUGGGUAUUUGUGGAUCUAUACAUGCCUAAUUAGGUCAUGAGAUUUAAAUCAAUUUAGUGACGGUAAUCUUAUAUGUUUGUUAAUCGUUUCCACUAAAUUGACUAAAUAAUCGGUACGUUUUUGGACUAGACGCCUGUAUAUAGCUUACAUUUAUUAAUAGGUUGGAAUGUAAAUUGAUUUAAGAAUGAUUUCUUGCGGUUUGUAGACGUUUUUGAAGGUGAUUUUACAUAGAGAAAGUGAAAGGUAGUUUCUUAUGCAAACAUAUUAAUCCUUCUAGCUAUUACAUACUAUUAGUUUUUAUAUGUAGAUAUUUAUCGUCUUACCCAGUUUGUAAAUGUAGAUUAAGGAAAACACCAACAACAGAAAAAAUCAAUCCUGUAAGAGGUCAGUUAGGACCAACAUGGAAAUCUGUAUCAUUUGGAUAACAUAUGCUGGGACAGUUCACUUAAAGAGGUUGGUGUGGAUGAAAGACCGCUGAAGGCGGGACCAAAUUCAGUAGCUUUGAAAAGUGUCGAAACACGAAAAGAGGUGCAUUGGUGCUUGAAGAUAUACAUAUUUUCUACAUAUAUCAGUGGUAAUCACAAAAAGAAAUGAUCACAUCUCACCAUCAAAUUAAAGCCUUGACCGGAGAAAUAACCAUUGUUGGCAACUUAAGAGGCUUAUUUUGACCCACUCUGUUUAGCCUGUAACCAACCAAAACAGGAUGAUCCGCCAUUUUUUUAUUCUAUAAUAAAUAAUGCAAAACUAAGCUAUUUCUCC
rnacentral:lncRNA from 1 species